rnacentral:rRNA from 1 species
UAAGGCGGAUUUAUCUGCCGCUCAUGGAUGGGCCUGCGGUGCAUUAGCUAGUUGGUGAGAUAGUAGCUCACCAAGGCGACGAUGCAUAGCCGACCUGAGAGGGUGAUCGGCCACACUGGGACUGAGACACAGCCCAGACUCCUACGGGAGGCAGCAGUAGGGAAUCUUCCGCAAUGGACGCAAGUCUGACGGAGCAACGCCGCGUGAGUGAUGAAGGGUUUCGGCUCGUAAAACUCUGUUGUUAAGGAAGAAUACUUGAGGUAGUAACUGGCCUUGAGAUGACGGUA